rnacentral:rRNA from 1 species
GCUCAAAUUUGAAAUCUAGCGCUUUCAGCGUUCGAGUUGUAAUUUGUAGAAGAUGCUUUGGGUGAGGCUCCGGUCUAAGUUCCUUGGAACAGGACGUCAUAGAGGGUGAGAAUCCCGUAUGUGACUGGCUGCCUUCGCCUAUGUAAAGCUCUUUCGACGAGUCGAGUUGUUUGGGAAUGCAGCUCUAAAUGGGAGGUAUAUUUCUUCUAAAGCUAAAUAUUGGCCAGAGACCGAUAGCGCACAAGUAGAGUGAUCGAAAGAUGAAAAGCACUUUGGAAAGAGAGUUAAACAGUACGUGAAAUUGUUGAAAGGGAAGCGCUUGCAACCAGACUUGCCUGCCGUUGAUCAUCCUCCCUUCUGGGUGGUGCACUCAGCGGUGGUCAGGCCAGCAUCGGUUUUGGUGGUGGGAUAAAGGCCUUGGGAACGUAGCUCCUCUCGGGGAGUGUUAUAGCCCUCGGUGCAAUGCCGCCUACCGGGACCGAGGACCGCGCUUCGGCUAGGAUGCUGGCGUAAUGGUUGUAAGCGACCCGUCUUGAAACACGGACCAAGGAGUCUAACAUCUAUGCGAGUGUUUGGGUGUUAAACCCAUACGCGUAAUUAACGUGAACGGAGGUGAGAACCCUUUAGGGUGCAUCAUCGACCGAUCCUGAUGUCUUCGGAUGGAUUUGAGUAAGAGCAUAGCUGUUGGGACCCGAAAGAUGGUGAACUAUGCCUAAAUAGGGUGAAGCCAGAGGAAACUCUGGUGGAGGCUCGCAGCGGUUCUGACGUGCAAAUCGAUCGUCAAAUUUGGGUAUAGGGGCGAAAGACUAAUCGAACCAUUAACUACUAGGUGGUUAAGACUUAUGCAGAAGUGUAUAAGUAGUCCGUAGCGGGCAACACUGUCAAAUUGCGGGGACCUCCUGUUACAGUACUACUACCGCAGCUAUGGCGAAAGCUAUAGCGCGCACCAGGUUAAUGGCCUUGGGGAUGGUAAUAACGUAGUACUAGGGACAACCUGCAGCCAAACCCUAACCACGGGUGCAGUUCACAGACUAAAUGUCAGUGGGGUAUGCUUAGAGCGUAC